rnacentral:rRNA from 1 species
UUUCCGUAGGUGAACCUGCGGAAGGAUCAUUACCA